rnacentral:misc_RNA from 1 species
CCGCUCGGCGCACGCCGCGCCGCAACGCGCCUCGCGCAAAAUUCCAAAUAUGGAAUUCGAAAUUCAAAAGUGACAGCUCGCUCUUUUCUGCCCCAAAAACGAUACGCGCGUGACGUAUUCCUUUUUUAAAGUGGAAGAUGCCAGUUAUUGUGUGGAUCGAUUUUUUUUUCUGAAUUUUUAAUGUGGCAGUGCGGCAGUGGCGUUUUGAGCCAAUGUGAAACACGGCCUUUUGAUACAGAUUUUUCAUGAAACCCUGGGCAAGGGGUGAUCUACGGCGUCGGCAGCGCCUAAUCAUUCACGAUUAGCCCCUCCACCACUCGCAAUGAGCCCGUACGUAAAGCUGAGCAGACUCGAGAGCGACUACAUUGCGGUGAUGUGGAGACGAGGUCAGAGUCGGGCACCAUAGCAGUGUAUUCUAUGUACUGCCGGACUGAGGAGUGAGCAAAAAUGAAUCUCCUCAACAUGGACGCGGAGAACCGCGUGGUUCUCAACGUGGGCGGGAUCCGUCAUGAGACUUACAAGGCAACGCUCAAGAAGAUUCCCGCGACACGGCUCUCGCGGCUGACGGAAGCACUCGCCAACUACGACCCCGUGCUCAACGAGUACUUCUUCGACCGCCACCCCGGCGUCUUCGCACAGGUCCUCAACUAUUACAGGACCGGCAAACUCCACUACCCCACAGACGUGUGUGGGCCGCUCUUCGAAGAGGAGCUGGAGUUCUGGGGGCUGGACGCUAACCAGGUGGAGCCCUGCUGCUGGAUGACGUAUACGCAGCAUCGAGACACCCAAGAAACGCUGGCAGUCCUAGACCGGCUGGAUCUGGACACGGAGAAGCCUUCUGAUGAGGAGGUGGCUCGCAAGUUCGGCUUCGAAGAAGACUAUUAUAAUGGCACCGUCUCCUGGUGGCAGCAGCUCAAGCCGCAGAUGUGGUCGCUUUUCGAUGAACCCUACAGCUCCAAUGCUGCUAAGAUAAUCGGCGUGAUAUCAGUGUUUUUCAUCUGCGUGUCGAUCAUAUCGUUCUGUCUCAAAACCCACCCGGACAUGCGAGUGCCAGUGAUAAGAAACUAUACGGUGACGACCGCAAACCAAACGCAAUCGUGGGCGUUGGACAAAGUGCAAACAAACGCCCAUGUCGCGUUCUUCUACAUCGAAUGUGUGUGCAACGCGUGGUUCACUCUAGAGAUCCUCGUUCGCUUCAUCUCAUCCCCAAACAAGUGUGAAUUCGUGAAAUCAUCCGUCAACAUCAUCGACUACAUCGCUACGAUGAGUUUCUACAUCGACCUCAUUCUCCAAAAGUACGCUUCCCACGUGGAGAACGCCGACAUUCUGGAGUUCUUCUCCAUUAUUAGAAUCAUGAGGCUCUUCAAGCUCACCAGACAUUCGUCCGGCUUGAAAAUCUUGAUUCAGACAUUCAGAGCGUCGGCUAAGGAACUGACUUUAUUAGUAUUCUUUUUAGUGCUCGGUAUUGUAAUUUUCGCGAGUUUGGUGUAUUACGCUGAGAGGAUCCAGACUAAUCCUCACAACGACUUCAAUAGUAUACCACUUGGGCUCUGGUGGGCCCUGGUUACUAUGACAACCGUCGGCUACGGUGACAUGGCGCCGAAGACCUACGUUGGGAUGUUCGUUGGAGCGCUGUGUGCUUUGGCCGGUGUGCUGACGAUAGCCCUGCCAGUGCCAGUCAUCGUAUCCAACUUCGCGAUGUACUACUCGCACACCCAGGCUCGCGCCAAACUUCCCAAGAAGAGGCGAAGAGUUAUCAACGUCGAGCCAACCAGGCCACCUAUCCAACACUUUGUCGCAGGUGCGCCUGGGCCUGGGGGCCCCGUGGGCCCUAUGGCCCCGGGGAUGGGCCCUCAAGCUGUAAAUCGGCGGAUGAAUGCCAUCAAAACCAACCACCCCAAGGACAUGAUGGGGCCUAACAUGGUCGCAAGCCUGAUGCCCGGAAUGGACCUAUCUGUCACGACUCGCCUCACUCCAAGUCCUCGCGACAUGAGCCCCGCUUUGGCCAUAGCGAUACCUAUGAUGAAGUCAGUCAAUAUUGUCCCUUCACAAUGCUUCGACAAUAUGGCGUUCCAUGGUGAGAAACCUGAAAAUCGAAGUGAUGAAAGCGAGAAGAGUGACAGUAAAACUACUAGUCGCCAGGAAUCAGUCGAAAGCGACAAUACUGUAAGAGCGAAUAACUACAAAAAUGAAUAUAUGGACAAGGUUGAGGAAAAAACUGAUGCAAGAACACCGUUGCUGAGAGAUCAUAAGAUUGAAUCUCUUGAUGAGAGUAAGCUUAGGGAGAAUAAAACUGAAAAAAGGAAGUCUUCGGCUUCAACAUAACAAAUAUAUCACUACCGAUGUAGGCUAUUGACCAAUAGUACUAAGAGAGUGGCUUUGCUAAUGUCAAUAAACUUUGCCGUUAGACCUGUUUACCUAUAUCAGGUUAGGUUAGCGGACACCGGAAAAAAUGAUUUUUCAGAAUUUUUAAUUUACUUUUUAAUAAAAAAAAGUCUCGUUAUUCAUUAGCAAAGUCUAAAAAUGGGUCCUGGAUCAUGCGUAGUUUGUUAAUGCAAACAUAAAAUGAUAAGAUUGCCUUUAAUAUAAACCAGCGUUAUCUUUCUUUUAAUAUGAUGUGACAAAAUUAAAAACUAAUUUAAGGGUUUGUAAUUGUUUGGCCUAAAGUGUUCGAGCUAAAUUUUUGUAUGGAAGUGGAAUGAAGAAUGAAUUGUUUUGUCACAUGCUAUUAAAACAGCGAAAGUAUUUAUAAAAUAUUGUCUUAAAAUCAAGCAUUGAAGGCCGUGAUUAGACUAAGCUAGAUAAGAAUAUAUUAGCACAAUACCAAUGUUUUAUAUUAUAACACAUAAUGUACGUACAAAUAGCUGCCUGUCACAAAUAUAAUGUAAUUGUAGCUUUUUAUUUAGUGUUUUAUAAAAUAGACGCUUAUUUGAAAGAAAAAGAGAUUAAUUAAAACAAGUACACAUUUAUUUUAGCGUUCGUAUCGCAGUUAUGGCAAUUUAUAAAUUAUAAUUUGAUCACUAUUGUAAUUGUAACAGAAUAACAAACAAUGCACACAUAAACUGACGUCCAUUUACGACAUAAGCAAAGACUAUGGAAUUCCAUUUGCUCCGAUCCUGACACACCUCUUUUGUUUCAUGCCACAUUCAUCAAAUUGUUUCAUACCCGCAUUACCGGCGCCCUUUGGGAAUCGGGCUCGAUAUUUUAAGGACAUCUCCAAUUUAGUCAAUACAAUCACAACAAACAUGUUUUCAGGCCAAAUGGCCCGAGUUACAAAUACAAUAAUAAAUUAUUUCCUUCCCAGAUGCUGUCCUAAUAUUGAUGAAUAUAAGUUCCCUUAAUUUAAUCCCUGAAAUGUCAUUUUAAGCAUUCUUUGUAAAAACAACACCAUGUUGGAUUUUCCUUCGUUGUAAGUACUAUUGUCAUAAAUUAUAAUGUAUUUUUAUUUGUUUGUACAUUGACCAAAUUGGAGAUACAUCCUUAAGGUUCAGUACGAUCUACUCUGAACCGGCGUGCGUGUAUGAAGCAAUUGACGAAUGUGGAGGAAGCAAGAGAAGUGUGUUAGGAUCGAAGCAAAUGGAAUUCCAUAUUCUUUGCUUACUCCGGUGGGAAAUAGGCGUAAGUUUAUAUAUGUACUUAUGUGUAUUAUUCUUUGUAUAAUAUUUGUUUUGAUAUCAAUUUUGUAAAUUCAUAUCACAUUUAUUUGCCUAAUUAAAACAUAUAGAAUUAUACUGUAGUUGAAUAACCAAGUAUUUCUUAGAACGGUUAAUGUUAUCUAGAUACUGAUUUCUAAAAUGUGAACAUCGUUCGCUGUCCAUUAGAAAAAUAUCAUCCUUGGGCAUAAUUGUGUAAGUAAAAUCAAAACGUAUGAACUUUACAAGGUGUUAGUGACAUCGUAACGAAU